UAGAACAAGAGGGAACGGUUUUAAACUAAACGAGGGGAGAUUUAGCUUAGAAGUUAGAAGGAAAUUCUCCACUCAGAGGGUGGUGAGGCGCUGGCACAGGUUGCCCAGAGAAGCUGUGGAUGCCCCAUCCCUGGAGGUGUUCAAGGCCAGGUUGGACAAGGCACUGGGCAAUCUGAUCUAUUGGGUGGCAUCUGUGCCCAUGGCAGAGGGGGUUGGAGCUAGAUAAUCCUUGA